GGAGGCGUGGCUGAGCGGCCGAAAGCAGCACACUGCUAAUGUGCUAGGGUAGAAAUGCCCUCGCAGGUUCGAAUCCUGCCGCCUCCG
rnacentral:tRNA from 1 species